rnacentral:rRNA from 1 species
GAUGAACGCUAGCGGCAGGCUUAACACAUGCAAGUCGAGGGGUAACAUUGGUGCUUGCACCAGAUGACGACCGGCGCACGGGUGCGUAACGCGUAUGAAACCUACCUAAUACAGGGGGAUAGCCCAGAGAAAUUUGGAUUAAUACCCCAUGGUACUGUGAUCUCGCAUGGGAUUAUAGUUAAAGAUUUAUCGGUAUUAGAUGGUCAUGCGUUCUAUUAGUUAGUUGGUAAGGUAACGGCUUACCAAGGCAGCGAUAGAUAGGGGCCCUGAGAGGGGGAUCCCCCACACUGGUACUGAGACACGGACCAGACUCCUACGGGAGGCAGCAGUGAGGAAUAUUGGACAAUGGAGGCAACUCUGAUCCAGCCAUGCCGCGUGAAGGAAGACUGCCCUAUGGGUUGUAAACUUCUUUUAUAGAGGAAGAAACGUGGUUACGUGUAACCAUUUGACGGUACUCUACGAAUAAGGAUCGGCUAACUCCG